AUAACGCAGCGAAAGCUGACGCUAAUACCGCAUACGCCCUGAGGGGGAAAGCGGGGGACCGUAAGGCCUCGCGCGAUUAGAGCGGCCGAUAUCUGAUUAGCUUGUUGGUGGGGUAAAAGCCCACCAAGGCGACGAUCAGUAGCUGGUCUGAGAGGACGAUCAGCCACACUGGGACUGAGACACGGCCCAGACUCCUACGGGAGGCAGCAGUGGGGAAUUUUGGACAAUGGGGGCAACCCUGAUCCAGCAAUGCCGCGUGAGGGAUGAAGGCCUUCGGGUUGUAAACCUCUUUUAGUUGGGAAGAAGCGAAAGUGACGGUACCAACAGAAAAAGCACCGGCUAACUACGUG
rnacentral:rRNA from 1 species